CCCACGUCCCAGCCAAUAAAGCCCAGUGUGCCCAGCUGAGCCUCCAAUUUAUAUAGGUAUUUAUAUCUGUCCCCACAUGUACACAGCAGAGUUGCUGCUAUUUAUAAACUCAGGCUGGUGAUGGUAGGAGCAGACUGAGUGUUUCACUGCCCCCUCCUUCCCCGGAGAGAGCGUGUGUGCACACACAUGCGUGGGUGUGAAUGUGCGUGUACGCCACCUCCAGCCUGGGCAGGAACUGCUGGGACAAGGGCAGCAGCGCCACCUUCUGGAGAGAAGCAGGGGCCAAGCGGGCUGCCGGGAGCAGAGUGCAGUGCGCGCUGGGGUGAGAAAACAGGCUGGGAGCGGGGCACCGGGGCAGGGGCCGAGGCCUGGCUGUGGGAGAGCAGCUGGGGCAGUGGCGAAGGCACCAGCUCAGGGAGCCAGCAGGAGGCACCUCUCCACUGUGACUCUGUUUCCUCAUCUAUGACCUGAGCCUGUGAAUCCCUGCUCGGGAGUGGGGACACUGGCUGUAAGAUGCCUCAGCUGACCACUGUGGAUGCCCUCUGGGAGAUGGAUAGGCCUCAGGGAUACAAAGAGAUGGAAAUGCCUGGGACAGUAAAUUCCAGGCCAGGUGGAGCAGAAGAGGAGAAUAAAGGGGAGAAGGUGGAAGCUGCUGGCCCUGGGCUAAGGUAAGAAAGAGGGACUGUAACGGAUGCUGGUAUCGGGCCCUUAAGACAGAGGAUGGAUGGGAGGUGAGGAGAGGUUUAGAUGGCUGAGGUGAGGGAGCUAAAACACUCGGCCAAGCUCAACGGACAGUUGGGACUCUUGACUCUCAGACUUUUAAACAUCCUAUGACUUUGCACCUCCUUCACUGUUUUGCUUUCCCAAGAAUCACUAGCAGCAAAAUCUCUAGGACAUGGCAAAGGGGCUGCCUGCUUCCGUGCAUGGCCGGGAUGCUGCCUGCCAUUCACGGAGAGAUGGGGGCCCUGCAGGGAGAGGCCACGGCCUGGAGCAGUGGGGGUGGGGAGGGGAAGCAGGAACAGGCAGUGUGUGAUUGUGGUCUGCAGGACUGGGAGCUGCCCCAAGGCCCAGAAGAGUCCCUGGGGGGGUGUGAGCCCAGUGGACCCUCUGCACUGAAAGUUCCCACAGGGAUAGAGGUGGGGGCUCCCCUUUCCCUCUGACACCCUCCUGGGCCCCGCAUGGCCCAGUGGACAUCUCCCAGGUGUCUACCGACCCAGAGAGGUUCACCUUGGAUUCCGAACUUCCACUGCAGCCCUGACAGGGGACACACUGGCUCACCCUGCGGUGUGGUUCCGAGUCUGACAGCUCUCCUGGGAGCUUGAGGACAGGGACCUUUUGGACUUGGUGCCCACUUUCCCACCCAGGCCCAGCCCAAGUCCUGGAGUAUAAUUAACAUUUACUGAAUGAACCCGGAAGAAACCGAGGGAGGCAGCGGUGUGACCCAGACCCUGAUGCUCCCCAGAGGGGAGCUGUGAAAGGGCCAGUUCCCUUCUAGGCCUGCAGGGGCCUCUGGCAGGCUGGAGGUCUCAGAAGUGCCUCCGUGUUCCCACUCCCACAACAGCUCAUACCUUCACCUCCUGAAUCAUCUUGGCCACCUCCACCUUAGUUUUUCCUUUGAUUGAUCUGCCAUUGACACCAGUGAUCUCAUCGCCGGCUGCUACGGUGCCGUCCAGCGCUGCUGGGGUGUUGUCAAACACCUGUGGAUGCAAAAGGAGGGUGGAAGGGGGAGGAAAGGAAAACUGAGAAGAAACCUGGUGGGGGACAGUCAUUCCCUCCACCCUAAUUGGUACCCGGCUCUGUCCUGGGCUCUACCUCUAUCUCUUAAGCGAUGCUGGAGAAGGGCAGGGUAGAAAGUGCCUGAGCAGCCAGAAAUGAAUGACCCUGUGUUCUUGGGGGAGGGGAAGGAGGGCCAGAGGUAAAUGUGACUGAUGAGACCCUCCUUUUCUGAUCUCAAAUAUACCAAACCUUACACGCCCAUCAGAGUGUUUACUCCUCCAAAGCUAUUUCUUUAGAUUUCCCCAACAAUGCUGCUCUGUGCUGACUCGGAGCCCCAAAGCACCUCUUAUCAGUUCCUGCACUUACUCUCCAUCCCCUUGGGGACCCACCACCCACUGCACAUGUAAGCCCCUUCCCCCAAGGUGACUCCUUCCACGGGGUCUGCCCUCACUGGCUGAGUGAGGUCAAUGUGUCUGACAAAGGAUAGAUGUGUGGGGGAACGCUCAGGGCAAGGGAAGAACUGUCUACACAAGUGUGUGCAGAGGUUACACCAGAAGCUGACUUCUGGAAACAUCCUUAGUGGGGUGGAAGGCAAGGUAUAGAAAGUAAGGGGAUGGACUCAAGUCCAGGCUCCCUCCUCACCCACACAGCCCUCCAUACUCUGUCUCUGGGGAAGACAGAGGUUUAUUCCUCAGAGAAGCCCCCAACUCUGGGGCCCAGGGACGAGGGAGAUGGGGGUGAAGCACUGGACAGAAGCAGUUAAGGGUUCGGAGCUGUUUACACAUUGAACAAUGAGUCCCACAGCCCCUUAACCCCCAUAAGCCCCUAGACCGCCAGCAACCAGGCUCACCGCCCUUCCCCUCAGGAGCCUAGAGGGAGGAUCUGGCCCAGAAUGGCUCCACAGGAAAGGCCUCUCUGUGUGAAAGCCCCACAGUGGAACCCACCAGUUGACAGGGCCAGGACACAGAACUUAAAAGCACUGAGGUAACUGUGAGGGCUCAUGCUUAAAUGUAAAGACAGAUAAGAAAUACUGGGCCCUUGAAAAACCACCCCAUGUGGAAAACACCAAACAUUCAAAGAGAAAAAAGGAACCACAGGAAACAGAAACGAAGCAGGGACAACACAAAAACAAAAAGAAAACCAUAAUGAACAUCUUCACAGUGAUUUGAAAAACAAGAACAGGAUGAUGCAAAAGGAUCAAUUCGAAAACAGGAGAGACCUCUUAGAGAUGCAGAACAUAAUUGAAAUGUAAAGUGCCACAGCAGCUUUGGGAACCCAGCAGAGGAAAGUGGAAAAGAGACUGGCAACCAGAAGAAAAGAAAAAGAGUAUUAGAAGGUCAAUUCAGGAAGCCCAGCAUUUAACCAAUUGGAGUUCCACAGGAGGGAACAGAGAACACAGCGACCAGGACAUCAUCAGAGAUCACACGUGAGACUUUCACAGAAGAGAAAACACGGGGUUCCCCUGAUGAACCUGCCCUUUGAGGCUCCAGCACAACAGACAGAGAAAGGCUCAUGCCAAGACACUUCAGAAAGCCAGGGACAAAAAGAAGUGCCUAAGAGUCUUGACAGAUCAAGAAUGACACUACAAAUAAAAGAUCACAAGUAGGACUGACAUCAACAGACAUGACAACACUGCUAUUGGCAAAAGACAAUGAAAUGAUGCCACCAAAUUUCUAAAUGGAAAUGAUUUUCAAAGUUGACAGUCAUUCUUGAAUUUGAUCCACUCAGGUAUCAACUGAAAGAAACAUGAGAAUAACAACAAAAAGACAAAAUAAUGGUAUUUUCAGAGAUACAAGAUCUCAAAAAAUUUACCUCCUCCCACGCAGCCUUUCUCACAAAGCUACAGAAGAUGGGCUCCACCAAGAUGGGGGAGUAAGCCAAGAGAGAGGGAUCCUGGAGAUGGGGGAAUCCAGUGGAGGAGAGGGCAGGGGAGGUUCAAAGAGGAAAGACUACAUAAGGGUAGGGACAGAAAGAUGAUGGGAAAUGUCUGACUGAGGAAAAUGAACUUAAAAUACAGGGAGAAUGCAAAUGUAAAAAACAACAAAUUACUCAAAAAAAAAUGGGCGGGGAAGAAUUGAGUUAGAAGAAACACAGGC